rnacentral:lncRNA from 1 species
AGCUUCAAUAGUAAUUAACACUUGAUUAUCCAAAUUCUCUGCAUAUUUAUAGCAAGGGCAACUAGUACCAAGUAUGCUCUUGAAUGUUGGGCAGCAUGGAUCAAUUUUAGUUUCGUUGAACAUGCACCUGUAAAUAUUUGAUUCAUCACUAGCUGAGCAGCUCGAACUCGGGGCGGGAGGGGGUGGGGAUGGUGGUGGAGGACAUGGUGGUGGAGGUGGAGGCGGACAUGGUCGUGGCCGUGGAGGAGGGCAUGGAUAUGGCCGUGGAAACGGAAAUGGCCACGGCAGAUAACAUGGAAUAUCAAAUGGGAAAAUUUGUAAAUCGUUCCCGUCAUUGGCCAAGGCUACUUCUCUAGCCUCGGCAACUUGGCUGCAAAAUAAAAUUGCAGCCACCAGUAAAGUAAGGAGCAUUUUCAAGGUUGCCAUUUUUCAAUGAAUGAUUUGU